rnacentral:lncRNA from 1 species
AUCCAGUGACAGUGAUAGGAUGUCAACAAUGGUGAGUGCUAUCCAAGACUUGCUUCUUACUCACAUCCACCAGGAAGAACACACCAAGUUACAAAGGGUGCAUGCCUAGGUUCAGAGAACUGCCCUUUCUUACCCAUUGUGAGCCUGAACUCUCUCAUCAAAUCCAUGGUUACUAUUUGUCUCUCCUGUUCCCCAGUGUGUCAAGCUUGAACACAGCACACAGCUUCAUGUCUGCAGCCUCCCGAAGAGCUGUUGCUCUGUGGAUCCUGCAGCAUCUCAGGACCCUGAAUGCUAUCCCUACGGAACCAUUCACUGAGUGGAUAAAGAAUACAUGGGGGUCUUUCUUCUCAGAGGUGACACUAGAGGAAGUCAGGUCUCUCAGUGGAAAUUUCAAUCCAGCUGAUGUUCUAACCUCUUUGGAUGUCCAACAACGGGUAGAGUUUAUGGUUACCCCAGAUGUGCUCUCCAAUGUCACUGCAGUAAGAGCUGUCCUAGAAAGCCUGAUAUCCAACCAGGAUAAGAUCCCAUUGGCCACGAUGGACCAGUUUUUGGCAGAGUUCAACCUGGCUCUCACUCAGGCCAAGAGUCCAGCCCUUCCAGCCCAUGUGAGAGAGAGUAUCCUGGAAAUGCUGCUCCCGAACCUGGCCCUGCACUUCACAGUCUUCUCCGAGAAGGACUACGAGCACUGGUUCCAAAAUAAUCUGCAUCUCCUGCUUCCUGGCAUUAGUGCCCAGAGCCUCGGUCUCCUCCCUCUGGACCUCGGCUACUCUUCUUACAGUGCCAUUGUUCAUGCAUUCGAUGAUGUCUUCUCCCAGUAUUCGUCUCAGACAUCCCAGAAUAUCUACGGCUUCAUCCAAAAUGUCCUGAUGAACCAGCUUAGAGUGUCAGGCGCCGUGUUCCCGGAAGCCUAUAACAACAGCCAGAGUUACCUUCAGCUCUUUGGCCAGUUUCUAAGAUUUGCCAACUACACCGAACUCCUCACUUUCAACCCAGCAUUUAAUGGGUAUGAAGUCUUGGACAGGCUCUCAGCCCAGCAACUUGGGGAGAUGAUGGUAGUAGUGGGUGCAAUAAGGAGUGAACGUUCCGCCAUCAGAAUUUUGGCAGAGAUGGAGCAGCGAUCCUUCAGGGACAUGGCUGAAUUCUUGGUCCAAUUCAAUAGUGUGGCCCAACUGAGGGGCAUCACCAUCCUGCCAGAUGCCCGUGUCCGGACCCUCACCCUCGAGUCCAUCUUCCAGUUGCUUCCAUUCCCUUCCCUGAAAGCCCAGGACUAUGACUUCUGGUUUGGCCACCUCAUGCCCCUCUUCCUGCCCAGCCUCAACAACAGGCUCUUACUACUGAUUCCUCAGUACAUCGACUGCCAAGCCCAGCAGAACUUGGUGGCUGCCUUAGAUGGCGUGUUUGACCAUCUAACAGACGAUCAAAGGAUACUAAUCCAUGGCUGGAUCCGAAGCUACCUUGAGACCCGUCUUCAGACACAAGGCAUAACCUGCUCUGCUGAUGCCACCAGCAGCCUCUGGAUCACCCACAAUUACAGGCGUUUCCGGGCUUUUGCCACCAUGGAAGAAUUUUCAACCCUCAACCUGAAUUUUGAUGGAUUUUCGGCACUGACUGAGCUUUCUGCAGGCCAGCUGGCCCAAGUCAUGGUGCAGGCAGGAGCACUUGCUGAGGAAGCUACCAUCCGGAAAGUCAUGGGCCAGCUAAAUACAACCAGGGACCUGGCACAAUUUUUUAAUAAUCUCAAUGCUCUAGGCCAGGCACAGCUCCAAGGCAGUGUCCACACGGGCCUCCUGCUCAGCCUGGCCUUCCAGCAUCUCUCUCUACACUUUCCCACGUUCAAGAGCCCAGACUUUGCCUACUGGUUCCAGAAUGGCCUCCAAAAUGUACUACAGGCAGUGAAUGAGACGCUCGUGGCCCAGAUCCCUCUGACCAUCUCGUGUGAUGCUUACCAGAACAUAUUGAAAGGAUUCAAUAAUGUCUACGAGCUCAUCCCUGCCUCUAAUGCCCCCAGUGUAUAUGGAUUCUGCAAGACCUUCCUCACAGCCAGAGCUCAGUUGGGAUCACCUUGCGGGCACGAGAUCCCCAGUUCAGAGGUGUGGCUGGACACAUACUUGGGGAACUUCAGUAUCUUUGCUGACUACAAGAACCUACUGAACUGGAAUGGAAAACUGCAAGCGCUCUCUUUGCUGGACAAAAUGACCCCCAUCCAGUUGGCUUCAUUCGCCGUGCAGUCUGGUGCCAUCAGCCUUGAGAAAGACAUGGACCUGGUCCUUGCCAGGCUCCAGAGAAUGCCUGCAGAAGCUGUGGACCAGUUCCUGAGCCAACUCACCAUGGAACUCCAGCUGUCGGUUGGGGCCAUCCGAAAUGCAGGGAUUAGGAGGAAGAUGCUCAAGCAACUGGUGGGCCAGAUUCAAGGGGGAUUUUCAACCCUGAGACCAGAGGACUGGACCCUUCUCCUCUCGACCAAGCUCCUGCCUCUACUUCCCAGUCUGGGUACCGAGGAUGCCCAUCUCCUUUUGUCCUACAUCUCUGGCUGUGACAGCUUCCAAGCUUUUGUGGCAUCUCUCGGGGCUGCCUACUCCUCCAUGGCACCCGAGAAUAGACAAGGUGUGGUCCAGGCCUUGGUGGCUUUCCUUGGAAUCCAGGCAAACACUACAGGUUCAGCCUGUGGUGGAAGCAUGGAAGCCACAACGAGGAGUCAGGACUGGCUGUGGAAGAACUUCGGGCCAUUUGCAGUUAAUGCUGAAUAUGGGGAUUUCAUGAAACUGAAGGAUGACUUCAAUGGCGUUGACGUUCGGGAAAACCUCACAUCAACACAACUGGUCCAUGUGUUCUUCACUCCGGGUGUCCUAGAUGACUUGGGGCUUGUGGAAACCCUCCUAUCGACACUGGAGAGCAGAUCUGUAUCCAGCAUAAUUGCUUUUGUCACAGAAUUUGUCUCCGUGGCCCAACAGAAGGGAAUCUCAGCCCUGACCAACGUGCCUGUCCGUGAUGCCAUGUUUGCAGCCAUCUUCAACAAAGUGCGAACCCGCCUCACUAGCCUCAGCCCCCAGGAGUACAAGGACUGGUUCAGACUAAAGCUUGGCCUCUGGCUCCCCAGCAUCAAUGCUGAAGCCCUCGCUGGCCUCCCCAAGAACAUGCCUUGUGGAAUUUUCCAAAUUGUCAUGAGUGGCCUAGAGCAGAGUUUCCAGCAGAUGGCUCUCACCACCCGGCAGGACGUGUUCAACUUUGCCCAAGGUUACCUCCUCUCUCGCCCAGUGCAAACAGGUGCACCCUGCUCUGAAAAUACCCAGGGCAGCCUUGGAUGGUUGCAGGCAAACCUGGCCUCCUUCAAGUUCUUGGCCUCCUACAAGGACCUUGUCAAACUGUACCCAGAUUUCAAUGCUAUGGACACACUGGGCUCCCUCAGCCCUGAACAGGUUGCAGGCUUCAUAGUGACAAGCAACAUCCUAAGGGACAGCAUCCAAGCGGGCAAGGUCAUGGCAUCCCUGAGUGAUACUGAUGUUGGGCCAUUCUUGGAUGCCUUCAACAAAGAGGCCCAGGAGCAUCACCUCACCCAGCUCCCGAGUGCUGAAGUGGCCCGUACCAUCCUGGGUCAAAUCCUUUGCCACCUGAGCCCAUCGAUGCUAGCAUUUGGCCCAGAGGAGUACACUGCCUGGUUUGGAGACAAGCUGACUCUCUUCCUGACGGGCCUGGAUGCACAGAACUUCGGCUCUUUGCCCAUCGACAUGUCGUGUGACUCCCUAGCUGCCCUGGUCCAAGUCCUGGACACACACAAGGCUAAUGGAACAUAUGAACACCCAACAGACAUCUACGCUUUUUUGCAACGAGUACUGAUGACCCAGCAGCAAAACACAGGCUCUGCUUGUACCCAGGAUGCUGUGACUGAUCAGCUGUGGUUACACAAAUACUUUGGUGCCUUCAGCCCCUAUGCCUCUUACAAAGACCUCACUACACUGAAGGGUGAUUUCCAGGGGCUGGACUCCCUGGACCUCCUCUCAGACAGUGUUCUCGCCCAAAUUACCAUCCACAGUGGCAUCAUCUAUAGUCCCUCUGGAGUUGGCUCUGUCCUGGAGACCAUCAGGAUCCGGAAGGACCCGUUGAGCCAUCUGACUGCCUACCUGGAAGACUUUAACAUCUUUAUAUUGAAGGUAAAUCCCAGGUUACCUUCAGCUGGCGCCUUUCUUCCAAGGGGCAAGUAAAGCUCG